UGAGCAAUCUGCCCUUCUCAUCGGAAUAAGCGUUGGAAACGACGUCUAAUGCCGAAUACGACCUCCUUUCGCAUGAUCGGAGGUGGAAAGCUCCGGUGGAGAAGGAUGAGCUCGCGGCCUAUCAGCUAGUUGGUGUGGGUAAUGGCUCACCAAGGCGACGACGGGUAGCCGGCCUGAGAGGGUGACCGGCCACACGUGGGACUGAGACACCGGCCCAGACUCCGUAGGGA
rnacentral:rRNA from 1 species